AGAUAUUCGACAAUGAGUAAAGCUCUCCUUAAAACUGGACGACCCAUUUUCUUUUCCCUAUGUGAAUGGGGCCAAGAAAACCCAGCGACUUGGGCAGCUAGCAUAGGAAAUAGUUGGAGAACAACUGGAGACAUUAAAGACACUUGGAAGAGUAUGACUUCACGUGCUGACGAAAAUGAUGUCUGGGCAUCUUAUG